rnacentral:rRNA from 1 species
AUUGCACGCUGGCGGCAGGCCUAACACCUGCAAGUCGAACGAGUGGCGGCCAGGUGAGUAAUGUCUGGGACACUGCCCGAUGGAGGGGUAUAACUACUGGAAACGGUCGCUAAUACCGCAUCCCAUCGUAUGUGCCCAGCUGGGCUUAGCUAGUAGGUGGGGUAACGGCUCACCUAGGCGACGAUCCCUAGCUGGUCUGAGAGGAUGACCAGCCACACUGGAACUUAGACACGGUCCAGACUCCGACGGGAGGCAGCAGUGGGGAAUAUUGCACAAUGGGCGCAAGCCUGAUGCAGCCAUGCCGCGUGUAUGAAGAAGGCCUUCGGGUUGUAAAGUACUUUCAGCGAGGAGGCGUUACUCGCAGAAGAAGCACCGGCUAACUCCGUGCCAGCAGCCGCGGUAAUAC